rnacentral:ncRNA from 2 species
UGCGCCCACACGUCUCGUGGUGACCAGGAACCCGGUGCCGGCAGCGAUGUCGAAGUCCGGGGCGGUUCCGCCACUGUGAGCCCGCUGCGAGAGCAGCGGGUGUAGCCAGACACUGGCCACGGGACCUCCGCCGAC